rnacentral:rRNA from 1 species
UGGGGAAUAUUGCACAAUGGGGGAAACCCUGAUGCAGCGACGCCGCGUGAACGAAGAAGGUAUUCGUAUCGUAAAGUUCUGUCCUAUGGGAAGAUAAUGACAGUACCAUAGAAGAAAGCUCCGGCUAAAUACGUGCCAGCAGCCGCGGUAAUACGUAUGGAGCGAGCGUUGUCCGGAAUUAUUGGGCGUAAAGGGUACGCAGGCGGUUUAAUAAGUCGAAUGUUAAAGAUCGGGGCUCAACCCCGUAAAGCAUUGGAAACUGAUAAACUUGAGUAGUGGAGAGGAAAGUGGAAUUCCUAGUGUAGUGGUGAAAUACGUAGAUAUAUGGAGGAACACCAGUGGCGAAGGCGACUCUCUGGUCUGUAACUGACGCUGAGGCUCGAAAGCGUGGGUAGCAAACAGG